rnacentral:RNase_P_RNA from 1 species
UCAGUCUAGGUACUGCACCUCAAAGGUGAGGAAAGUCCCGGCACGAAAAAACAGCUAGUAUCUAACGGAUACUGGAACAUCGCUCUUGCGGGCAAACGAAAGUGCCACAGAGAUUAAACUAUCCUCUUAUUAGGAGGAGAAAGGUGAAACAGUAGGGUAGCUUAGUUCUAAGCUUACCUACACUCAAUCAGAUUGAUGAUCUGAUGAGCGGUAAACCGUAGCUCGUGCAAGCUUGCUAUACUUGGUAUAGAAGUGCAAUACUACUCCUCUAAGGAGCAAUAGAUAAAUAGUACCUAAUACAGAACCGGGCUUAUUGGACUGAUAUA